rnacentral:lncRNA from 1 species
UAUGUAUCUGUAUCUAUGGAGACUCCCCAUGAUGUGGCUCCUGACGUCAGCCUUACUGAGACGACACACACACACCUCACACAGGUACACCGCCUCAGAGUCCCGGCCGAGCGUCACACACUCUGUCACGUAGCUCAAACCUGAAACACACACACACACACACACACACAGGUCAAAGUAGACACAUUGGUCAAAUACCCCAUACAUGUAUCACACACAUACAAACACACAGAUACACACACAUAUACACACGGCUGUUCCUGACCGAUGAUGGGCUGCAGUCUGUUCUUGUUGUUUAGAUACACCCUGAGGGCGAUGGACAGCAGGCUCUGCCCACACACAGCUACGUGACAAUGAGAGAAUGAAUGAAUGAAUGAAUGAUGAAUGAAUGAAUGAAUGAAUGAAUGAGUGAAAGAAUAAAGAAAUGAUAACCCAUAGGCUACCUUUAUGUGCUCGUUCAGGCUGCAUAGUGGCAGACUAACACCCUAACAACCUAAAGGGAGAGAGGGAGAAAAGAGAGAGGAGGAGUUAAUGAGGGAGAAGGAAAGGAAACACUAUGUAUGCAGACACCACAAAGUGGCGCAACUACACCACUAGUAAUAUCUGUAUAAUGUAUUAGCUAGCUGCUAGGCUACACCACUAGUAAUAUCUGUAUAAUGUAUUAGCUAGCUGCUAGGCUACACCACUAGUAAUAUCUGUAUAAUGUAUUAGCUAGCUGCUAGGCUACACCACUAGUAAUAUAUGUAUAAUGUAUUAGCUAGCUGCUAGGCUACACCACUAGUAAUAUCUGUAUAAUGUAUUAGCUAGCUGCUAGGCUACACCACUAGUAAUAUAUGUAUAAUGUAUUAGCUAGCUGCUAGGCUACACCACUAGUAAUAUAUGUAUAAUGUAUUAGCUAGCUGCUAGGCUACACCACUAGUAAUAUAUGUAUAAUGUAUUAGCUAGCUGCUAGGCUACACCACUAGUAAUAUCUGUAUAAUGUAUUAGCUAGCUGCUAGGCUACACCACUAGUAAUAUCUGUAUAAUGUAUUAGCUAGCUGCUAGGCUACACCACUCUCUACAUCUGUGUCAGUUUGACUUUUGCCAUUUCAUAGCACCCAUUUUUAGGUGAAUUACAUGUAAUCUGAUUAUUAAAAAAAAACAAGCUAAUCAGCUACUUUACCAGCAACAAAUAUUGUAAUCAGAUUACAGAUACUAUAGAAAAACUUGAGGAUUACAUCUUGGAUUACUUUUAAAUUCAGAAAGGAUGUUUGCAAAUAAAAUUACAUUAUGACACUUUUCUGUUUUCUCAACCACAUUCAAAUCCGAGUUGAAAAAAGCCCCAAGUUUGUUUGUUCCACCUUAGCAAGUCUGACCACAAGUCAGAGACCACUGUGAAGACACACCAAAUGCAUUUUAUGGAUCUUCUUCUAAAGUCUCUUGAGGGGAAAGUAAUCCAAAAGUAACUGAAAGUAAUCCGAGUUGGGUAAUCCAAAAGUUCAGUUACUGAUUACAAUUUUGGACAGGUAACAGGUAACUGUAACGGAUUCUGCCUGCCUGACUAACUAUCAAUAUUUUUUUCCCAGCUGUUUAUCAAAACUAAAGUAAUAUCCAAGAAACUUAACUGAAACAUCAGAAUAAAAACAUUUUUACUAAUUAACUACCAAUUCAGAGCUCGUAUGAAACUUAAGGAUAAAUGUCUCGCCAAACUAACGUUAGCUAGCUAAUCCAUUCAUAGACACUGGCUAGCUUCUAGAAAUAACAUUUGCUAAUGAAACUCCGGUGAUAGUUAGCUACAUUACAUAGAAGCCAGCAAGCAGCUAACCUAAGUAAAAGUUGUUAGCCAUAUGCUAAUUAACGUUUAAAAAUAAUAUAAUGAACACCUACCUGUCUGUACACCACGUCGGAGUAAAUGGUGUGUUUGAUAUGUCUGUCUGAAUGAAGUUAAAACUUUUAACAAAAAACGUUUAACUUAAAAAAUAAUAAUAAUACAUUACAAACACUGAUUAUUAGCAAUUUAGCGACCACACUACGCAAGGACUACAAGAGGACAGUUGCUCACACCGCGGGGGAAAGUCGAGAGAAGAGCUAAGCUCUUAGCGAUAAGGGAGAUUUAUUUCAGUCUUUCCUUUCCUUGCCAAAGAGUUUGAGGUGAUGAUAAGAUAAUGAUUAUUUAUUCGGUCAAAUGAUCCACAAUAAGAUUCUAGUCUUUGAUCCCCACAGGCAACCCGCGAGAGCUCAAAAAGUUUCAAUUAUCUUGUCACGCAUGGUGACAUGAAGUGAACUUAGCUAUACAACACGAAAUAACAAAACAGCCACAAAGACCGUUUCUGUAUGAAGAGUUCCCUGUGUAAUGACAACAUCAACUGAACAAAACCCUCUGCCAGCCAAACGUGGACUGCCAUGCGAAAAGAUGACCAUCCUCAGUGAGCUGUCUGCCUGUCUCUGUCCUUGUGUUUCCUAUCUGCAGCGAUUCCCAGACGUGCUCUCUAUCUGGCUCUCACUACUCAGCAGCUGAUAAAAUCUUGGAACAGCUUCCCUUUCUCACCCCCUUUCCUUCAUCCAGAGAGGCAGGUUGGUGGGUUUGAAGGAAAUGAAAUGAGGUCGCAGUUGUAAAUGAGAACUUGGUCUCAACUGGCCUACCUGGUUAAAUAGAGAUCAUCGCUGGAGGUUCUGGGCUGCGGGCCGCUGCUGGAGGCGCCGGACCGUCGCUGGAGGCUCCGGACUGGGGAGCGUCGCUGGAGGCUCCGGAGUGGGGAGCGUCGCUGGAGGCUCCGGACUGGGGAGCGUCGCUGGAGGCUCCGGAGUGGGGAGCGUCGCUGGAGGCUCCGGACUGGGGAGCGUCUCUGUAGGUUUGGGACUGGGGACCGUCGCUGCAGGCUCCGUGCCAUGGAUCAUCGCUACAGGUUCCGCGCCAUGGAUCAUCACUGGAGGCUUUGUGCCAUGGAGUAUCAGUGGAGGCUUCGGACCAUUGAUCAUCACUGGAGGCUUCCUACGUGGAGCUGGAACAGGUCUCACCGGACUGGGGAGACGCACAGGAGACUGGGUGCGCAGAGCAGGCACAGGGUAUACUGGGCCGUAGAGGCGCACUGGAGGUCUGGAGCUUAGGGCUGGCACACCCCGUCCUGGCUGGAUGGUUAUUUGAGCCCAGCAAGGGUGGAGCGCUGGCACCGGACGAACUGGGCUGUGCUGGUGAACGGGGGGUACCGUGCGUAGAGCAGGCGCAGGAUAACCUGGGCCGAAGAGACGCACUGGAGACCAGAUACGCUGAGCCGGCGCACUUCUUCCUGGCUGCCGGCCAACUCUAGUACGGCAACGGUGAGGAGCUUGCACCGAGCGCACCAGGCUGUGAGUGCGCCCUGGCGACACAGUGCGCAUCACCGCAUAACACUGUGCUUGCUCGGUCACUCGCUCCCCACGGUAAGCACGGGGAGUUGGCUCAGGUCUCCAACCUGACUCUGCCAAUCUCCCCGUGUGCCCCCCCAAAAAUCUUUUUUGGGGGUGCCUCUCGCACUUGCCUCUUGGUGGAUAUAGUGCCUCGUAGUAUCGCCGCUCCGCUCUUGCUGCCUCGAUCUCCUCCUUAGGACGGCGAUACUCCCCAGCCUGCCUCCAGGGUCCUUUCCCGUCCAAUAUCUCCUCCCAAGUCCAUUUGUCCUGCUGAUCCCUACCACGCUGCUUGGUCCUUUGGUGGCGGGUGAUUCGGUCACGGCUGUCUAAAGGAUCGGACCAAAAUGCAACAUGGUUAUACUUCCACAUAUUUAUUUAUUCCGUGAAACGUUGCGAUACACAAAUAACUAGACUAACAGAAAACAACAAACCGUGACGCAGAGAGAAAAUAAACACUACUCAAAAGAUAAUCACCCACAAAAACAGGUGGGACAAACAUCAGCUUAAAACCAGCUGCCUCUAAUUGGAGAUCAUACCAAACAAAACCAACAUAGAAAUACAAAACUAGAAACUGAACAUAGAAAUACAAAACAUAGACAAACACCCCCUGUCACACCCUGACCUACUCUACCAUAGAAAAUAACAACUUACUAUGGUCAGGACGUGACAAUAACAAGUGCAAACUGUAUAUUUUGUUUAUGUAUACUACACUUUUUAACAUUUACUUUUUUAGAUACAAGACAGAAUAUUUUAAUUGCAAAUCAAAUGAAUGUUAAAUAAGUAAAUAUUCAGUUGAUGGUGGAUGUUUUUCUGAAUGUGUGUUAUUGUAGGUGUAUUAUUACAUUGAAUGUUUACAUUAUUUCUGUAUCUUAUAUGAUUGUGUUCUUAAUAAAAUGUGGAUAGGCCUAGGCCGUGUUGUCUUCCACACUUGGAAUACAACUGUUUCUGUUCUGG